UACAGAGGUCUCAAGCGUUGUUCGGAUUCAUUGGGCGUAAAGGGUGCGUAGGCGGCGCGGUAAGUCGGGUGUGAAAUCUCGGAGCUUAACUCCGAAACUGCAUUCGAUACUGCCGUGCUUGAGGACUGGAGAGGAGACUGGAAUUUACGGUGUAGCGGUGAAAUGCGUAGAGAUCGGGAGGAACACCAGAGGCGAAGGCGGCGACCUGGACAGGUACUGACACUCAACUACGAAAGCGUGGGGAGCAAACAGGG
rnacentral:rRNA from 1 species